CAGCCGCCACGGUAAUACGUAGGGUGCAAGCGUUAAUCGGAAUUACUGGGCGUAAAGCGUGCGCAGGCGGUUCGUUAAGACAGAUGUGAAAUCCCCGGGCUUAACCUGGGAACUGCGCUUGUGACUGCACAGCUAGAGUAUGGCAGAGGGGGGUGGAAUUCCACGUGUAGCAGUGAAAUGCGUAGAGAUGUGGAGGAACACCGAUGGCGAAGGCAGCCCCCUGGGCCAAUACUGACGCUCAUGCGCGAAAGCGUGGGGAGCGAACAGGAUUAGAUACCCGUGUAGUCCCUGUCUCUUAUAC
rnacentral:rRNA from 1 species